UCCGGCUUAUCACCGGCAGUCCCUCUAGAGUCCCCGGCAUUACCCGCUGGCAACUAAAGGCAGGGGUUGCGCUCGUUGCGGCACUUAAGCCAACACCUCACGGCACGAGCUGACGACAGCCAUGCAGCACCUGUGCUAGCCCCUUACGGACACGGGCUUUCACCCGCUUUAACUAGCAUGUCAAGCCUAGGUAAGGUUCUUCGCGUUGCAUCGAAUUAAACCACAUAAUCCACCGCUUGUGCGGGCCCCCGUCAAUUUGUUUGAGUUUUAACCUUGCGGUCGUAAUCCCCAGGCGGGGUGCUUAAUGCGUUAGCUACGGCACGGAGGGAGUGGAUAACCCCCCACACCUAGCACCCAUCGUUUACGGCGUGGACUAC
rnacentral:misc_RNA from 1 species